rnacentral:misc_RNA from 1 species
CAAACUCUGAUUUAACGACGUUUCUUCUGAGUGGUACAAGCAAAUAAUCAAAACUUUUAACAACGGAUCUCUUGGUUCUGGCAUCGAUGAAGAACGCAGCGAAAUGCGAUAAGUAAUGUGAAUUGCAGAAUUCAGUGAAUCAUCGAAUCUUUGAACGCACAUUGCGCCCGCCAGCAUUCUGGCGGGCAUGCCUGUUCGAGCGUCAUUUCAACCCUCAAGCUCUGCUUGGUGUUGGGGCCCUACAGCCGAUGUAGGCCCUCAAAGGUAGUGGCGGACCCUCCCGGAGCCUCCUUUGCGUAGUAACUUUACGUCUCGCACUGGGAUCCGGAGGGACUCUUGCCGUAAAACCCCCCAAUUUUCCAAAGGUUGACCUCGGAUCAGGUAGGAAUA